rnacentral:rRNA from 1 species
AACGAACGUUGGCGGCAUGGAUUAGGCAUGCAAGUCGCGGGAAUCCAGCAAUGGGGAACCGGCGUAAGGGGCAGUAAGGCAUGGGUAUCUACCCAGGGGUUCGGAAUAGCCACCAGAGAUGGUGGGUAAUACCGGAUGAUGUCGUGAGACCAAAGGUCCGCCGCCCUUGGAGGAGCCCAUGUGAUAUUAGCUAGUUGGUGAGGUAACGGCUCACCAAGGCGAAGAUGUCUAGCGGGUGUGAGAGCACGACCCGCGCCACUCGCACUGAGACACUGGCGAGACACCUACGGGUGGCUGCAGUCGAGGAUCUUCGGCAAUGGGGGCAACCCUGACCGAGCGAUGCCGCGUGCGCGAUGAAGGCCUCGGUUGUAAGCGCGAAGUAGGGAGGAAAGA